rnacentral:rRNA from 1 species
AACAAACGCUGGCGGCGUGCCUAAUACAUGCAAGUCGAACGGGGAAAGCUUUCGGGUGAGUACUAGUGGCGCACGGGUGAGGAACGCGUGGAUAAUCUGCCUUAGAGUGGGGGACAACUAGUCGAAAGAUUAGCUAAUACCGCAUAAGACCUCAGGAGCUGCGGCUCAAGGGGUCAAAGGUUUUUCGCUCUAAGAUGAGUCCGCGUAAGAUUAGCUAGUUGGUGAGGUAACGGCUCACCAAGGCGACGAUCUUUAACUGGUCUGAGAGGAUGAUCAGUCACACUGGAACUGACACACGGUCCAGACUCCUACGGGAGGCAGCAGUAGGGAAUAUUGCACAAUGGAGGAAACUCUGAUGCAGCGACGCCGCGUGAGUGAUGAAGGCCUUCGGGUCGUAAAGCUCUGUCGCAGGGGAAUAACACAAUGAAGGUACCCUGUAAGAAAGGAUCGGCUAACUUCGUGCCAGCCGCCGCCGUAAAAC